GACGAACGUUGGCGGCGUGCUUAAUACAUACAAGUCAACUGAAGCAGUGGUAGCAAUAUCGCUGUGGAGGUGGCGCACGGGUGAGUAACACGUAGGUAAUCUGCCUUCAGGUCUGGCAUAACUCCGGGAAACCGGGGCUAAUAGCAGAUGAUGCAGCGGCUCGACAUCGAGACAGUUGUUAAAGCUAUGGCGCCUGAAGAUGAGCCUGCGUCUGAUUAGCUAGUUGGCGGGGUAACGGCCCACCAAGGCAACGAUCAGUAGCUGGUCUGAGAGGAUGAUCAGCCACACUGGAACUGAGACACGGUCCAGACUCCUACGGGAGGCAGCAGUAAGGAAUAUUGCUCAAUGGGAGAAAUCCUGAAGCAGCAACGCCGCGUGAGGGACGAAGGGCUUUUGCUUGUAAACCUCUGUAGUGAGAGAAAAAAAUCCCAAUCUUUGGGACAUGAUGGUAUCUCAAAAGUAAGCCCCGGCUAACUACGUG
rnacentral:rRNA from 1 species